GCAGGCUACAGAUAAAUAUAAGGCAACCUUGUCAGUCCACGGUGAGCCUUCUUUGAAUGUUGUAAGUUCGGAUACUACUCCAAAUACUGAACAUGUCAUGCUCCAUUUAUCCUCAUGUAAACUUUCUUCAAACUGGGAAGGCUACAGAUAAAUACAAGGCAACCUUGUCAGUCCACGGUGAGCUUUCUUUGAAUGUUGUAAGUUCAGUGGAUUUAAAGCUCCAGCAAAAUUAGCGUCAGUUUGAUCUAUCCCCCGACCAACACAGAGGACUAAGUAACAUCACAAGACUGGAACCAGGAUGCAAUUAGUUUGCAUUUACAUGCACCUGAUAUUGUACACUUCUAUAUGCUCCAUUGUUUCAUCAUUGAUCGAAUGAUUGUCGUACAAGCAUAAGAGCUAAUGCUCCAGAGCAAGGGUCUCAAAACUAUGCAAAUGGUUUUUCGAGGUGUUGGUGCCAUGUUCUUGAUUUAACUUGGAAAUAAAAAUUUGGAAAGUAUUGUUUCGUAACUGUGGAAGAACUUUAUUGUAGCAUGAAGAUGGGAAAAUUUGUAAACAAGAAGCCCGUCUGGAUCGCACAAGAUGGAUGGAUUUUCACUGCACAUUACUGGCAAACAUUGUAGCUUUUCAACUCCAGGCAACAUGAUUUUGAUCAUGGAAGGAAGCGGCUGUGGACGUCGGUUCUUAGAUCUGACUGCAUUGUAAUGUAGUACAUUACUAUGAUUUUUUUGCUGCUGUUGUACACAUCUAGAAUAGCCAACAACAAGAUGGUCUACCUGCAAGAAGUUCAGUACAGAAGCUAGAUACAAAUGUUAAAAUUUCCAAAUGUUCGUGACAGAGUAAAGAAGGGGGGAGAAGGAACAACCAAGAUGCAAGCUUUGUGCUACCACUCAAUCACAUAUGGCUUACAAUCUUGCUUACUCAAUGUUCAGAUUAUUGUAAUUUUUGUACCUAAAAGGUCU